UUCCUGCAGAUCCAGGGAGACCCUGCUCGCCGGGUGGACCCGGGGGUCCGGGGUGGCCACGAUCUCCCAUCGGCCCUGUCUCGCCCGUCGGUCCCUGUAGAUUCACAGAGGGAACAGAGCAAGGUAAACCUCGACGAAUGGGGCCAAUAUGAAUCCCCUUCCUACAGUCGAUAGCAGCAGUCAAGAGCUCACCUGAGGUCCGACCACGCCAGGGGGUCCAGGAGGUCCGGUCUUCCCUUGGAAUCCCUGAGAUGUCCAGGAAGUCCGUCUUUCCCUGCGGGCCCCUAGGAGACCAAGCAAAACGGCCGCGGACGCCAUCUGCUCCCUGUUAGGCAACGACAUAUCGUCAGAAAACGACGCGACAAAAAGCUGGCAGCAACGUCCGAAAAGAAGACCAGCCAGACCAUCGAACCCACGAUCUCCCUGAAAGAGAAGAAGAUAUUCCAGCACUUCUGACUGUGGCGAGGAGACACGACAAAAAAAAAGGAUCCAGAUACCUUCGGUCCAGACUGACCCGGCAUGCCUCUGGCACCGUCAGCUCCAGCGCGACCCUGUAAAGGCAGCAUGAGGACAGUGCCAGGGGGUCCUGGCAGACCAUCGGCACCAGGAAGACCAGCACGACCCGUUAGGCCCUGAUGGGUGAGGGUUUAGGGGAACAUGUCACUCCACAGACCACUGUAGCUUGGACCAUCUGAGCUCAAAACCCUUCCACUCACCCUCUCGCCUAUAUCUCCUGGAAUGCCUGGUGACCCAGAGGGACCUGGGGGUCCGGGAAGACCCUAUUUGUAAGCAAAAGAUCCCAUAAGACUCUCAUGUGUACACCAGGAAGCGUAAAUUAUUUGCAGCACAAGAUGUUUCAAUCAGCAAAGCAGUCGCACAUGUGGGAAAGGAAUGCGUGAGGCAACAUGAGAGCGGCGCAUCCUUUUGUGGGGCGCUCUUUGUUUUCCCUCUGCAGGGCUCCAUCUGUGAAGGGUGUCAGGAGCAACGGCCCCUUAAAAGAAAUGACCUAAAUAAUUGACAUCUGGGCAAGUCCCUCUGUCAUCUGGGAAAAGCUGCCGGACACGCCCUUUCGACGCAGCGAGGGGUUUGCACAGGAAGGCAUUAACUUUUUUUUUUGUUUCUUUCAAUGCGAGGCACUAAGCUAAACAGAGUGGAAGAGCAACAGGGAGAGAGGAGAGAAAGGACACGUUGAGGACGGUCUUCAGGCGGGUUGACUUACUGCUGGCCCCUCAGGCCCAGGCGGACCCUCCAUAAGCAUUCCCUGAAACGCACAAGCACAGGAAUCGGCCGGUUAUUCACGACGCACGUUCCUCUCUCCUCAUUAAGAAAUGCAUUUGUUCCUCAACACUUUGGACGCACAUUCCUGCCUGUCACUUUGCUUCAGCUGCUGCUUAAAAGCCCCGCGGUGCUCUCCCGACACGGGAAGCGCGAGAUGAUUCAUUUGGAAGCGGCGAGCAGAUCUCGAACCGUGAUUGUGCAUGCGGCGUCCCAACGUGUGCGUGCAUGCGUCGCAACCUGUUAGGUGGACUCAACGGUGCACUCCGUGGCUGUGGUUUGCUGGAUUUGAAGUUUGAAAUCGCGUCGUCGUACAUAAACACCAUAUAUAUUUACAGUAUAUAUAUACAGUACAGGCCAAAAGUUUGGACACACCUUCUCAUUCAAUGCGUUUUCUUUAUUUUCAUGACUAUUUGCAUUGUAGAUUGUCACUGAAGGCAUCAAAACUAUGAAUGAACACGUGGAUUUAUGUACUUAACAAAAAAAGUUGAAAUAACUGAAAACAUAUUUGAUAUUCUAGUUUAUUCAAAAUAGCCACCCUUUGCUCUGAUUACUGGUUUGCAGACUCUUGGCAUUCUCUCAAUGAGCUUCAAGAGGUAGUCACCUUAAAUGGUUUUCACUUCACUUCACAGGUGUCAUAGUUUUGAUGCCUCCAGUGACAAUCUACAAUGUAAAUAGUCAUGAAAAUAAAGAAAACACAUUGAAAUG